rnacentral:rRNA from 1 species
UGGGGGCAACUCCAUGAGUACAGCGGCGACCGGGUGAGUAACACGUGACUAACCUACCCUUGAGUGGGGAAUAACUCCGGGAAACCGGAGCUAAUACCGCAUAACACCGCAAGGUCAAAGGAGCAAUUCGCUUAAGGAGGGGGUCGCGGUUGAUUAGCUAGUUGGUGGGGUAAUGGCCCACCAAGGCGAUGAUCAAUAGCCGGCCUGAGAGGGCGCACGGCCACACUGGAACUGAAACACGGUCCAGACUCCUACGGGAGGCAGCAGUGGGGAAUUUUGCGCAAUGGGGGAAACCCUGACGCAGCAACGCCGCGUGAAGGAUGAAGGUCUUUGGAUUGUAAACUUCUUUCGUCCGGGAAGAUAAUGACGGUACCGGAAUAAGAAGCCCCGGCUAACUUCGUGCCAGCAGCCGCGGUAAUACGAAGGGGGCGAGCGUUGUUCGGAAUUAUUGGGCGUAAAGGGCGCGUAGGCGGUGCGGUAAGAGUGUUGUGAAAUCCUCGGGCUCAACUCGAGGCCUGCAACGCUGACUGCCGUGCUGGAGUGUGGGAGAGGUGCGUGGAAUUCCCGGUGUAGCGGUGAAAUGCGUAGAUAUCGGGAGGAACACCUGUGGCGAAAGCGGCGCACUGGACCACAACUGACGCUGAGGCGCGAAAGCUAGGGGAGCAAACAGGAUUAGAUACCCUGGUAGUCCUAGCCCUAAACGAUGAUUGCUUGGUGUGAUCGGUACCCAAUCCGAUCGUGCCGCAGCUAACGCGAUAAGCAAUCCGCCUGGGGAGUACGGUCGCAAGACUGAAACUCAAAGGAAUUGAC